AGCUGUUGACAAUUUAAAAGCAACUAUGAUGAACUGCAUACCAGUAAAAGCCUUCUAGACAAUUUGAAAGACAAGGUAGUAAUUGAAUACCCAACAUUACUUGUGGUAUUGAAGAAACUCAAGAAUGAUAUGGGAGUUCUUGGCCAAGAUGCUAGUGAAUCCACUGAGGACUUGGACAGUGACAGUUCAUCCCUCUCAUCUGAGGAAGAAGGGGAAAUACGGGACAGUUCCUGAAAAAUCUGUUUUGACAGAAGGGGGUGUGAUCAGCUUCUUACACUUUUUUUUUUUUACAUUUAUUGUGACAGUUUUUUUUGUUUUAAGGGCAACAUUUUCAAAACUGGAUGCCUAACUUUAGGGUAAGUCCUUUUUUCAUAAAUCAGCGUAAUAAUACAUAUUUCAAAGGUACGUUCAGCUUGUGCAGUAAUCUUGGGCAUCUAGUUUUUAUCUUAACAACCCAGCUCCAUAUUUCUCAAACAGAGCUUAAAAAUCUGGCCAUUUACUUAAGUGCCUAACUUUAGGCUCCUAUUAUUUUUAAUAAAAUCUUGACCUAAAUGUUUUUCUAGUUGAAUUUACUUUGUACAAUAUUUCUUUGCUGUGCUGAGCCUCUGUAGACAGUCAUAAAUUCUUGUUGACUAAUCAUUUGAUAACAAUGUGUGUGUUUAGUGCAGUAAAUUUAGUUUUCAUAUUUAGGUGCAUUGUGCAGGAUCCAGUGAGAACAUUUUUUUUUUUCUGGCUAGAGUAAUAGUGAACUUUUGAAUUGUUAGCAUGAUGUUGUUUUAAAUCAGCAUAAGUUUGAAAAUCAGUAGAACUGAAUAAAUUCAUUAACUGCUAAUACAUUUAUGACUUAUAAAUAUUUCUUAUUUUGUGCACCUUUGUAUUGUGAUUUCAUCUGUUGAAAUCAGACAUUGUAAAUAUUUCCUAGUUUUAAUGGAAUAUCUUCUGAGAUUUAUCUCUAAUUUUAAAAUAAAUAAAAGAUGCUGCAUAGAGAUUCAUGUAACACAUUACCUGCUGGCAAAGAACAUUUGCUGUGAAAUUCUACAGCAGGCUUUGAUUAUCCCGUAAUACACAUCCAUGUCAUGAGUCA